CCCCCUCAAGAUAAGGUAUUAACUGUUCUAGUCAUGAGCAUUUCCAAGACGAGAUUCUAUCUUUGUUUCCCACAGCUCUGGUUAUCAGAAAAUCCAUGCCUUCCUUUAUGGGGGAGUUUGGUCUGGCUGGCGCUAGCAUUUCCCUUCCAGGGUUCUCCACUCUCAGCUUCGCUUCUGGAGGCAUUGCUUCUGGUUCUCCCUCUCUGUCUUCAAUGGAAGCCGCUGAUACUGAACCAGUGUUUGGAGCAGGAGCCUCAACACUGGCCCUAGCUUUCUUGAUCCGGUCUGGUGGGUCGGGUGGAUGUUUCCUCUGUUUUCUGACCAUCUAUGGUCACUCUAGACUUGGAGAUCUUGUGGGCUUUGUUGGGAAGUUUACAGCUUCUUCAGCCGAUCAGUUUUCAGCCCUGUUCUGGGAACUUUUCCCUCCAUGAUUCCAGUGGUUCCGGUUUGCUGCAGCACCUCAGCCAGUUUCUCUCUGGA
rnacentral:lncRNA from 1 species